rnacentral:rRNA from 1 species
GCCCUAGAUAGUAUCUAAGGUGUAACCUGCUCGAUGAUUUCAUAGUUAAAACAUAUGAAUAAUGUUUAAUGGAAUUUAAAGGACGCGGUAACCUUGACCGUGAUAAUGUAGCAUAAUCACUCGCCAUUUAAUUGAUGGAUAGUAUGAAUGGUUAAACGAAUUUUCUACUGUCUCAAGAAGAAGUAAAUAAAAAUUAAAAUAAUAGUAAAGAUGCUAUUUAAAACUGUAAGACGAAAAGACCCUAUAGAGCUUAACUAUAUUCUUCCUUAUGUAAAAAAAUUAAUAGGAAGACUGGUAGUUUAGUUGGGGCGACUAUCUUCUAAAGAUAACGAAGAUAAACAAAAUUAAUAGAAUAAUUUAUUGUAUAAUUAAUUAAUUUAACAAUUACAAAAGUAGGUUAUUAUGACCCGUUAUAAUAUAGUAAUAUAAAUAACGAUUAGUAAAUAAAAGCUACCUUAGGGAUAACAGGAUAAUUUUAUUUUAGAGAUCGUAUCGAAGAUAAAGUUUGUCACCUCUAUGUUGAAUUAAGAUAUCCUGAUAAUGCAGAAGUUAUCAAAGGUAGGUCUGUUCGACCCUUAAAAUCUU